GGCCUCAAGUGAUGGAACAAUGACCAGGGAGGACUGUGACCGAACUAGGAUGUGUUCGUACUGUCUGAUGGGGCC
rnacentral:snoRNA from 12 species